rfam:Schistosoma rodhaini strain Burundi genome assembly, scaffold: SROB_scaffold0000157
GCGCUGCCGAAGAGUCCCACAAUAGGACGAAACGGCCGUUCUGUAC